rnacentral:lncRNA from 1 species
CUCCCACUCGCCGCGCCGCGCCCGGGGCCCGAGGAGGCCCCGCCGAGCGCCCGCUCCCAAGGCGCCUUUUCCUGCGCCCGCAGCCCCCGCCUCCCACCUGGGAGGCUGCACCUCCAGCCGCCGCCGCCGCCGCCGCCGCCGCUGCCGCCGGGACUGCAGCACGCCCUCCUCCCUCGGGGCUGCGCCGGAGCAUGGGUUACUUUGUGGAGCCAUUUCACCUAGGCCUAACAGUCUAGGUGAAGCUGACCCCACACUGUGCUGCAGGUGUGGACACAGGAUCAGGCCUGGCCAAUCAGAGAAUUGCAUUUCCUAAAGACCUGCUACCGGCUCAAGAAUGGACCAUAACCCAUGCCAGGCCAAUGAAGGUCAGCCCUUUAACUCUGGCUGAAAUUACUGGGAAUGGGCCAUUUCUUUCCAUUGGAAUUGGAGAAUGAGAAGUGUGCAGGCCUGGAACUGCCUGCUGAAGACCCACUUUGACAUAAUUUGGAGAAAGCCUGAGGAAGACACCAACACAAACAGAGGCAGAGUCAAGAGAUGGAGAGACACAGAGGGCAAUUUGAUUUUGACUACCUGGAUUCAGCCAUGCCUGAAGCCAGACCUAGCUCCUGGAAUUUACAACUUAAAGAGAAUUAGAAUGGUUUUUCAGGUCCCAGAUCUUCUCUUUGUUCUCUUGUUCUCUUUCUUGAGCACAGGACAUAAACAUUAUUUUGAAUAGGUGCUCACUUUGUUUAUUAUUUAAAGGACUCAUCUCCAGGCAAAUAAUUAGAAUGCAAUGCUUAUCACUGAAUUGUACAGAAAUAAAUGGACAGUUAAUGAGUCAUCUAAGCUUUUAGAUCCAGAAGUGGCAAACAUGGAAGGACUCUUUGGUGACUACAACUGAGUCCCAAAUUUACAUUCUUAGCUAAUCCUUUCCCUCUGCUCCAGAUGGUAUUUCUGACUUCCUCCUCAACAUCUAAUCCCUAGUUUUCCAUUCCAAACAUCUACUAUCUAGCCUUCCAUCGAAACCCCAAGAGAUCAGUAUCUGGAGAGAAACAGGAGGGUCCCCUCCUUACCUGAUGGCAGCCUUAGCCUGGGUUCCUAUCUGAGGACCCAUUUCUUCCCCAGAGGAUGUGCAUCCUGGUUUGGGAAACACAUGUGGCUCUGAUAAAAUAAUCCUAAUAUCCAUAUGGAAGAUGCACACAGAGAGUGGAAGGGGGGUACUUAUUAUAGCACCUACCCACCCUGCCCCUUCCAUCUCCAUUGUUACUUACCCUUGGGUUGCCCAUGCCAUGCUCCCUCUUCCUGGACAUCCCUGAUGUGCUUGCCUGUCCCUUACAAUCUCUUAGCCAACUGCUUUACCUUUGUUCUUCUCUGUUUGAUGGACUAAAAUCGGUCCUGUCCUAUAGAACUUCCUGCAAUGAUGGCAACAUUUUACAUCUGCUGUAUCCAAUACAGCAGCCACUAGCCACAUGGGACCAUUGCGUACUUGAAAGAUGGCUAGUGAGACUGAAGAACUAAAUAUUUAAUUUGAUUUCACUUAAAUUUAAAUUUAAAUUCACAAAAAGUAAAUUUAAAUAAUCUCAUGUAACUAGUGGCUACCGUACUGCACAAUGCAGGACUCCACAUCACCCCCACCCCAUCACGUAUAAUUGGGUUCAUCUCCCUUGCCCCUGUCCAAUCCCCUUGGGAAAGUCUAGUUCCAACUGGUAACCCCUUUUUCCCUGUCCUAGACUGCUGACAUUAACUUUCCCAUGCCUGGCCAAUUCACAAGCUAUGACACCUCCAAUCCUUUUUGCCAUCAAAUCAAAAACCCAGCUCCUGCCAAGUUGGUCAAAACCAAGGUAAAUUGUUCUUUCAGGGAAAGCCCUUGGCAGCUGGGCUGCUGCUGGUGGUGGAAUGUGCUGUUGAAAUCCUGCUGCAACUCAGAGCUCACCAUGGAAGCGGCAUUCCAAAGUAGGGGUCCCGUGACUCACCUAUGUUAACAUUACACAACCAAGAUACAGGAACCACAGACACAAAAGGAACCCUCCCCAUAUCCUCCUUCUCCUUUGGGAAACUUCAAGUCCUGGUUCAAGCUAAGGAAAGAAAAUUUGGAGAAGAAUGUCUUGAGUAGAAUCAGAGCCAUGCCAGUGAAGUGUUGAUAGGAGUGAGAGCCGUGAAGGGCCUCUGAAGUGAGCCAGCUGGCCUGAAGCUAGUGAUCCUGGUGAUCUUGAGGAGGGUACAGUGGUACAAGGAAGGAAUGGACUUAUAUGGGCUUAAGAGAAAAUAGACGCAGGGCAAUACAGAUGGUAGAUCCUGACCAUCAUUUUAGAAGUUUAGCGUCAGGCCAGGUGUAGUCGUUCAUGCCUGUAAUCCCACUACUUUGGGAGGCUAAGGCAGGAGGGUUGCUUGAGCCCAGGAGUUCAAGCCUAGCCUGGGCAACAUAGCAAGAUCCUGUCUCUACAGAAAAAUUUUUAAAUUAACCUGGCAUGGUGGCAUGUGCCUGUAGUCCCAGCUACUCAGGAGGCUGAGGUGGGAGGACUGCUUGACCCCAGGAAGUUGAGGCUGCAGUGAGCUAUGAUGACACCACUG